rnacentral:rRNA from 1 species
UUAGCCCUAAACACAAAUAAUUAUAUCAACAAAAUUAUUCGCCAGAGUACUACCGGCAAUAGCCUAAAACUCAAAGGACUUGGCGGUGCUUUAUACCCUUCUAGAGGAGCCUGUUCUAUAAUCGAUAAACCCCGAUAAACCUUACCACCCCUUGCUAAUUCAGUCUAUAUACCGCCAUCUUCAGCAAACCCUAAAAAGGAAUAAAAGUAAGCUUAAUCAUUUUACAUAAAAACGUUAGGUCAAGGUGUAACCUAUGGGGUGGAAAGAAAUGGGCUACAUUUUCUAACUUAAGAAAAUCUAUCACGAAAAUUAUUAUGAAAAUUAAUAAUUAAAGGAGGAUUUAGCAGUAAACUAAGAAUAGAGUGCUUAGUUGAAUUAGGCCAUGAAGCACGCACACACCGCCCGUCACCCU